AGGACGAACGCUGGCGGCGUGCUUAACACAUGCAAGUCGAGCGGAAAGGCCUUUCGGGGUACUCGAGCGGCGAACGGGUGAGUAACACGUGAGUAAUCUGCCCAUCGCUUCAGGAUAGCCAUCGGAAACGGUGAUUAAUACUGGAUAUGACAUUCCUUCGCAUGUUGGGGUGUGGAAAGUUUUUUCGGCGGUGGAUGUGCUCGCGGCCUAUCAGCUUGUUGGUGGGGUAAUGGCUACCAAGGCUUUGACGGGUAGCCGGCCUGAGAGGGUGACCGGCCACACUGGGACUGAGACACGGCCCAGACUCCUACGGGAGGCAGCAGUGGGGAAUAUUGGACAAUGGGGCGGAAGCUGAUCCAGCAACGCCGCGUGA
rnacentral:rRNA from 1 species